rnacentral:snRNA from 1 species
CGGAGGUAGGGUCCAGCGG